UAUCAUGUUUAAUUCCAACUGCAGCGGCCGCUGGCUUUCCUCCACACGAAAUCUAUCCCUUCUCGCUUCUCCCAGAUCUGUUACAAUCCUCCUCGUUCCUUCGAAUCCUACUUAAGAUUCGACCAGAUCGUUUCUCUGCACGCAUUUCGAUGUUGGAUUUCUACUGUUUCGCUCUAUGUGUCGCUGUCGGUCGUUGUACUUUUUUAUCGCCAGAUCUGGUUCGUUUUCGCUUCGGAUGGGUAGAUCUUGGAUGAGAGAAUUAUAAAGAAGCCGGGAAAGAAUCCAGAUCUGUUUAUUCUUCUUUUCUUCCAUUCAAGAAGUCUGGAAAGGAACCGGAUCUGCUCGUACUCCAUUUCGGAUGUUCUAUAUUCAUUUAGAGGAAGAGAAUUUGAAAAGAUUAUAGAUGGGCCAGGGAAUGGAAUUGUUCUUGGUGGAUUAGCGAGCUUUUCUUCUUAUUGAUGGCGAGAGAGUCGCUCGGAGCAGAAUACAGUUGACAAUCUGAUUAUGAGAAAGAUAAUUAGCGGGUUUGAUACUAUUGAGUGCAUAUUUAACAUUUCCUGCAUGAUUGCUAAGAUAUGCUAUGUUAUUUAUAUCAACAUGAUUAGUCGAGAGGUGAAGAUGGUGUGGGGCUUAUGAGAGUAUGGCAUAGGAUAUUGUAAGGUGUUUUGGUCAUGUAUCGACCUUUGCCAUGACAGGUGCGCUUGCAUGGCAGGUCAACCACGCUUAAUAAAAGUAUUCAUUUUUUGGUUUUGGGGGGAGGCGGCCCUGAGCUUCUUUUUCAUUUUGGGCCGGCCUCCUCCUAUGGUUGGUUUUGUGUGUGUGUGUGUGUGUGUGUGUGUGUCCCUCUCUCUCUCUCUCUCACUCUCACUCUCUACGCGAUCCGUUAUUGGUUCUCUGAUCAUUCCGCCAACUAAAUGCUGCGUUGGACGUGGCUUUAUCUUUGACACAAACGGGCUAAUAAGGACGAGGCAACCCAAUUUGGGUUAGCACUGAUGGGAUUCAGUUCUAGAUUUCCAUCCGAAAGGUAUAUCAAUCUUCUAUGUCAAAUUUAUAACCCCAAAAAUAUUAUUUGGUGUCUAAUCUUAAAUGCUGCACUCUGGUUUUAUGACUCUUUUUUAAGCAUUAGGAUCUGCAAUAUACUGUUAUCAAUAUGAAUUUGUAAGCAUGAAAAGCAUUGAGUUUCAGCUAGAACAUGAUAUUUUUUCAUGCUAACAAGAAUUAUUCCACUAAUUGCAAACCACAAGAUGCAAUCUCCCGUGUCAUGCAUUCAUAAAUGAAAGAGUAGAAGUUUUUUAGUAGCCGUAUUCAAUCAUAGUCACUUAGGCACUAGCUAUCAAAUUUUUUUUUAUGAAUAAGAAAUUUUAUUUAGACAAGUAGCAAGGCAAAGCCAAGAACACAGGAAUGGCCAUUUUAUUUUAACCAAAAUACUGGCAACUCUAUUUGCAAGACUGUUAUCGUCCUUGACAACAUGUGAACAAAAGUGAAUUUGCAAAUCUUUGCCUGAAUCUAUGCUAUUUUGGGUUUCUAUCGUUCAUAUUGCGUUCACAAGUUUACGGGUGUUUGUCCCGUUUUGUUAUCCUUGGGAGUGUUCAUUAUUUUACCCACUUUCAAUGGUGGAUGUGUUUGUACAUUUUGGGGUUUGGUGUUUAGAUGUCCUGUUGAGGGAUCUUAAUUUUGCAUGCUGUAAGUUAUUGUUCUUAAUGAUUAAAAGCUUCUGUAUAUGGAGAAAUGUGCUCCCUAAGGGUAGGAAUGGGCUUCUGCUGAUAUACACGAGUGAGUGCUGGGUUCGGCUCGAGGUGAUGGCUGUUUUUGCUGCAAGAUCAAUGAUGUUAUUGGUGGCAUACUCAAGACAUCAAGCGGACUGUGGCAGCAGGUCAUUAUUUCAACCCAAAUGGAAGCGGACUCAUGGCUCUGUUAACUUCGAAGCCAGGUGGAAAACACUACUCUUUUGUGGUGGAACUCCUGAGAUAUUAUGUUUUUUGAUGCAAUUCUUGCAAAUUCGCGGCCAUUCAUUGUCAAUUCUGCAACUUCUUGUGUUUCUGUUGGAGCAGAUGACACCGAGAGCGCUAUGUCUCUUCCAGUUUAACGUGCAACCGCUGCUGAUUACUACACAAUUGUCGUUUUCUUUUGUAAUUGACUUACCGAGUCAAGGUAAAAUGCUAGUCUUAGAACAGGAAAUUUGGUUCGCAUGCGAAGAUCCUAUUUGAAUAUCAUUUUAUCUGUGUCAUA